GUUUAAAUGAUGACUUUUUACAUUGUCGGAUACCCCUUCACUCGUCUGAGUGAUAACUUGAAUCUGAUGAAC